rnacentral:rRNA from 1 species
UGAGGGAAUAUUGGACAAUGGAGGCAACUCUGAUCCAGCCAUGCCGCGUGAAGGACUAAGGCCCUAUGGGCUGUAAACUUCUUUAGACGCAGAGCAAUAAGGGCCACGCGUGGUCCGAUGAGAGUAUGCGUAGAAUAAGCAUCGGCUAACUCCGUGCCAGCAGCCGCGGUAAUACGGAGGAUGCGAGCGUUAUCCGGAUUUAUUGGGUUUAAAGGGUGCGCAGGCGGCGCGAAAAGUCAGCGGUCAAAGUUCCGGGCUCAACCCGGUGACGCCGUUGAAACUUUCGGGCUGGAGUCCGUGCGAGGGAGG